rnacentral:rRNA from 1 species
UAAAUUGAGAGUUUGAUCCUGGCUCAGGAUGAACGCUGGCGGCGUGCUUAACACAUGCAAGUCGAGCGAUGAAGUUUCCUUCGGGAAACGGAUUAGCGGCGGACGGGUGAGUAACACGUGGGUAACCUGCCUCAUAGAGUGGAAUAGCCUUCCGAAAGGAAGAUUAAUACCGCAUAACGUUGAAAGAUGGCAUCAUCAUUCAACCAAAGGAGCAAUUCGCUAUGAGAUGGAC